UACGUAGGGUGCGAGCGUUGUCCGGAAUUAUUGGGCGUAAAGAGCUCGUAGGCGGCUUGUCGCGUCGUCCGUGAAACCCCAGGCUCAACCUGGAGCGCCACCCGAUACUGCUGUGCGUAGAGUCCAGUAGGGGAGUGUGGAAUUCCGGUGUAGCGGUGAAAUGCGCAGAUAUCGGGAGGAACACCAGCGGCGAGGCGGACACUCUGGCUGGAACGUGACGCUGAG
rnacentral:rRNA from 1 species